AACGAACGCUGGCGGCAUGCCUAACACAUGCAAGUCGAACGAGACCUUCGGGUCUAGUGGCGCACGGGUGCGUAACGCGUUGGAACCUGCCCUUAGGUUCGGAAUAACUCCCCGAAAGGGGUGCUAAUACCGGAUAAUGUCUUCGGACCAAAGAUUUAUCGCCUUUGGAUGGGCCCGCGUUGGAUUAGCUAGUUGGUAGGGUAAAAGCCUACCAAGGCGACGAUCCAUAGCUGGUCUGAGAGGAUGAUCAGCCACACUGGGACUGAGACACGGCCCAGACUCCUACGGGAGGCAGCAGUGGGGAAUAUUGGACAAUGGGCGAAAGCCUGAUCCAGCAAUGCCGCGUGAGUGAUGAAGGCCUUAGGGUUGUAAAGCUCUUUUACCCGGGAUGAUAAUGACAGUACCGGGAGAAUAAGCUCCGGCUAACUCCGUG
rnacentral:rRNA from 1 species